CUUACCAGCUGCCCUAAGGUCACAGGAAAGUGGACAAGGGAAGUCAACCACAGGACUGUAUCAAGUGUGGCCUAAAUGGUCACAUGGCACGAUAUCGCACUACACCUGCUCCGAGGUUGUGCCCUAUCUGCCAGCAACCUGGACACUGGAAAUCACAAUGGCCCUGUGCAGGCUUGUCCUCUAUGACAAGCCACGGAGGUCCGGCCUCAUCACCAUCGGCAAGUGAAACUGUGCCAGCCUUAAAAGAUCUCAGCCUUGCAGAGGACUGACGCUGCCCAUCGCCCUCUCCUAGGCUAGGGUCAGGCUACAGGGGCAGGUGAGUCCUUUACUUUCAUUCUCACUCAGGCCUUAAGUUUCCCUCACCAAUUUCAGCUAUGGGGGUAGAAGGGACCCAUUCCUCCCCACUUGAAACUAUGCCACUGCCCUACCAUCUUGCAGGACAUUUUUCUGCCAUUCUUUCUUAGUGAUACCUGCUUGCCCAACACCCUUACUGGGUGGAGAUAUCCUUAGCGGGUUCCCCAAAGCUUUGUUCCACUUCUUGGAGCCCCUUUGAACACCACCCAUCUCCAAGAUUCUAUUUUACAGGUUGACUCCUCCUGCCAGACGUGUGCCCAGGCCAAACGACAAGGAGCUCUCCACAUACACCAGCUUCAUGGACACCAACCGGGCAAAGAUUGGAAGGUUAAUUUCACCCAUAUAUCUACUCAUAAAAAAACUUCAUUAUCUCUUAACAUGUGUGGACGCUUUAACAAGAUGGAUAGAAGCAUUUCCAGUCUCCAGGGAACCAGCAGAUGUGGUGGCUCAGGGUCAUGGAGCUCGUGUCAGAAGCUCUCAGCAUCUCCUGGACAAUGGGACUCAUCAAACAACUAACCAAGCUCUUCACUGAACUCAGGCUCAAGCAGGCACCUACUCAAGACACUUGGUCUGUCCAGCAGACAGGACCUUCCACCCUCUGGUUUUCCAGGAUGCCGCAAUGAAGGGCCUACAUCCUCCUCAUCCUGGCACACUCAUCUUUAUCGAUAACUUUUUUCCCCUGGACACCUGCCUUCUCAUCUCCACAAGGAACAGAAGCCUGCAUUCUCUGGGAUGACAGUUCAUUGGAUGCCUUUCCAGCCACACCUCUCACUAAACAUACACACCUGGCUCUCCCCUUCCCCAUGCUGCCCCAUGCCCGCAGGAAGUAGCAGGAUUUGAGUCUACGCCCUUUGUUCCCAAUGAGAGCCUAAGUGUUUGUCAUAAUUACCAUUCCAAUUUUCUGUCACCCCUAUAGUGAAAGAGUCUGGAAUGUUAGGUUGGGAGCAUAGGUCACAGUCCCUCGCAUCUAUCCCAGCCCCCAGGCCUGGUCUGGACUUCAAAUCCCAGCAGGCCAGGUCCUGACCCCAGGACCACUCCCCGGGGUAUUUAAAUGAUCCCCCCAAAAGAAAAACGUGUGGUAUCUCUUUCUCCCUCCAGGGGGUAUCAUUUCCACGGCAUCCCUGUUUACCCCUCGGGGCCACGCGAGAGCACAGUUCUCCCAUUAAACAUUGAUAUUUCUUAA